rnacentral:misc_RNA from 1 species
GUGAGUCAUCGAAUCUUUGAACGCACCUUGCGCCCUCUGGUAUUCCGGAGGGCAUGCCUGUUUGAGUGUCAUGUAGACUCAAUCCCUCGGGUUUCCGAGGAGAUUGGACUUGGGUGUUGCCGCUCUGCCGGCUCGCCUUAAAAGACUUAGCGGGAUAGCACCGUAGUCGGCGUAAUAAGUUUCGUGGGUGAAGGUUGUGAUGACUGCUUACAAUCGCCCUCGGGCAAUUUUUGACUCUGACCUCAAAUCAGGUAGGACUACCCGCUGAACUUAAGCAUAUCAAUAAGCGGAGGA